CACAGAUGCAGGGGCCCCUUUCUAGAUUCUAGAUUCUCCUGAAUCAGGAUCUCCUGAGAACCGCAGUUCUCUGUAUGCUUAUCUCUGAAAAGCUCCACAGGUCAUUCUAAUGGGAGCCAAGUAAGAGUCACUCAAAAGCAGAGCCCCACCAACCAGGCCUGGCGAUCAUGACAUCCAAUUCCAGGGGCUGCAGGGGAGCCCUUCCUUCCGAGUGAGCCACGAGGCUGCCUGCCCUGGUGUUUGGCUUCAGGCAGCUCUGACAUCAAUCUGUCAUUCCAGAGGACACUUUUAGAUAAACAGUCUUGCUCUGUUGCCAGGCUGGAGUACAGUGGCACGAUCUUGGCUCACUGCAAUCUCCACCUCCCAGGUUCAAGCGAUUCUCCUGCCUCAGACUCCUGAAUAGCUGGGACUACAGGCAUGUGCCACCACAUCCGGCUAAUUUUUUGUAUUUUUUUAGUAGAGAUGUGGUUUCACCAUGUUGGCCAGGAUGGUCUCAAUCUCCUGACCUCAUGAUCCACCCGCCUUGGCCUCCCAAAGUGCUGGGAUUGCAGGCAUGAGCCACUGUGCCCGGCCUGCAAAUUCUUUUAAAGUACACUUUUAUAGUUGUAUAAUGCCAGUGUAGACUAACCUCUGUAACAACCAACCUUCAAAUGUCAAUGUCUUAAUAUCUUACUUUCGUAUCAAAAUACAAAGUGAGUCAGCAGGGAGACUGUUCCAGUGUCAUUCAGGGACCCUGACUUCUUCCAUCCUGUGGUUCUACCUUACCCUGGGUACUCUUCACUCAACUUAUGGAUGGGCAAAGGGAAGCGUUCAUCUGAGGUGGUCGUGUGAGUCUGUGUGAGCCUGCAAGCACUGCCCAUCUCUUACACCCACACCCCAUUGGCCAGAACUCUGUUCUCUGAUAAACAGUGGCAUCGUUGUUGUGCUUGACCACAAGAAAAGGAAUUGUGUGUCCAGGAAAGAGAGAAGAUGCAUGUAGCUGAGGAGUGGCAGUUUCGGCUGUAAAUAUAUAACCUCACCCAAGGGGGUGCUUCACCUAAAAACUUGCAGUAGGCAGAAUGAUGGUGUCCCCAGUGACGUCCACGUCCUCAUCCCAGAAUCUGUGACUAUGUCACCUUACAUGCACAAGGACCUUGCAGAUGGGAUUAAGCUGAGAAUCCUGAGAUGGGGAUGUUUUCCUGGAUAAUCUGGGCAGGCCCAGUAUCAUCACAAAGGUCCUUAGAAGUGGAAGAGGGAGGCAGGAGAGUCAGAGAGAGGUUUGAAGAUGCCGUACUGAAGGCUUUGAAGGUGGAGGAAAGGGCAAGGAACCCAGGCAGCCUCUGGAAGCAGGAAAAGGUGAAGGAAUGAAUCCCUGGAGGACGCAGCCCUGCCAACACCUCAAUUUCAGCACAGUGAGACCCAUUUUGGACCUCUGAUCUUUAAGACUAUGAGAUAAUAAAUCUGCAUUGUUGUAAGCCUCCAAGUUUGUGGCAAUUUGUUACAGCAGCCAUAGGAAAUGGAUACGGAGCUCUCUCAAUGUUGUAUCCCUACCAUGUGCCUGACCCAUUGGAGGUUCACCCAGUAGGCACAUUUUUUUCAUGUGGGCUUCAAU
rnacentral:lncRNA from 1 species